rnacentral:tRNA from 1 species
ACCUGGGUGGCUCAGUCUGUUGAGCGUCUGACUUCGGCUCAGGUCAUGAUCUCACCACCCAUGGGUUCAAGCCCCAUGUCGGGCU